UGGACCAAUGAUGAAAGCGUGUCACGAAACAGGGCCUAUAAUUAAUCUAGUUCUGACACCCGAGGAUCUAUA
rnacentral:snoRNA from 1 species